rnacentral:misc_RNA from 1 species
GGAGGCAGCUAACCACGGUAGGGUCAGCGACUGGGGUGAAGUCGUAACAAGGUAGCCGUAGGGGAACCUGCGGCUGGAUCACCUCCUUUCUAAGGAAGCUGUGGAACAGUAAGACGCUCCGGACAAGUCUGAAUACAUUGUUGACUUGUCUAGAGAUGAACUUUCCCGUGCUUUUUAGAACAUAGAUGGCACCAGUCAGGUGACCAUCGAAACGUAAUACGCCACGGAAUUACUUCGGUAAUCGGAUUGGUAUGGCAAGGUUCGCCGUCCACGUUUCUCUUUCUUCAAGAAGGAUAUAAACCUUUGGUUUGCGCUCACGUGCUGUUGCCCCUUUGGGGCUGCACUCCGCGGGGGCGCCGGACGACCGGCGACGGCUCGCUGAGCCUGUAUGGGUGUCCAAUUGGACGCUUGAUACGCUCGGUAAGAUGGGCCCGUAGCUCAGUUGGUUAGAGCACACGCUUGAUAAGCGUGGGGUCGGAAGUUCAAGUCUUCCCGGGCCCACCAUUGGUUUGCUGAAUUUACCUGAUCCCUGGCGGUUUUGCUGUCGGGUGUUUGCGAUGGUUGGGGCUGUAGCUCAGCUGGGAGAGCACCUGCUUUGCAAGCAGGGGGUCAGCGGUUCGAUCCCGCUCAGCUCCACCAAUCGCGGAACGCGGUUUUGGUGUGUAGCGCGGGAAUAUCCUUCUGAAGAAAUAAAAGUUUGCAUCGUCUGAGAGGACUGAUGCCUGUUCUGAAUACAUUGUGAAGAGAAGAUAUGUCUGGAAGCUUCCAGGUGUUUUUGAGCCCUUGUGGUUUGAAACGUCCGAGCCCAGUCCCAGAGAAACCAUGAGAUGGCUUAGUCGGCCGGAAUUGGUGGAGGGAUUGGAGGUAGGUAGGAAAGCUUGUCCUUGGGCAUUUUUGUUGUUUGAAGGUUUAGGCCUUCAUCUGAUGGGAAUGCUGGAUUGGUGUUGCCUGACCGCGCAUCACCGGAUGAUAUCUCGAGAAGCUGGUCUUAAUGGUAUGGCUUCGAGGUGCACCGGCGUGCCCUCAAUGAAGACCGUACCGACACGUCGAUGUCAUCAGGAAAGACUUGAUUGUAAAAGGUAAUCAGGUUGCCGUUCCUUUGGAGCGGCUAUGGAUGAGCAUAGACAAUGAGAACGAAGAAGUGAAUUAAGGGCAUUUGGUGGAUGCCUUGGCAUGCACAGGCGAAGAAGGACGUGAUACGCUGCGAAAAGCCGUGGGGAGCUGCGAAUAAGCUUUGAUCCAUGGAUCUCCGAAUGGGGCAACCCACCUUAAAUGCUUGGAAAAUCCAGUCUGUUUUAACGAACGGCCUGGGUUUCCAAGCAUUGUGAUAAGGUAUCUUACUU